rnacentral:tRNA from 1 species
UGGCUUAGAGGGUAAAAAGCAUUUGCCUGCAAUGCAGGAGACCCGGGUUCGAUCCCUGG